rnacentral:rRNA from 1 species
GAUGAACGCUAGCUACAGGCUUAACACAUGCAAGUCGAGGGGCAGCGGUAUCGAAAGCUUGCUUUCGGUAGCCGGCGACCGGCGCACGGGUGAGUAACGCGUAUCGAACCUGCCUCAUACUCGGGAAUAGCCUUGCGAAAGUAAGAUUAAUGCCCGGUGUUUUCAGAGUCCCGCAUGAGGCUUUGAACAAAGAUUUAUCGGUAUGAGAUGGCGAUGCGUCCCAUUAGCUUGUUGGCGGGGUAACGGCCCACCAAGGCAUCGAUGGGUAGGGGUUCUGAGAGGAAGUGCCCCCACAUUGGAACUGAGACACGGUCCAAACUCCUACGGGAGGCAGCAGUGAGGAAUAUUGGUCAAUGGGCGGAAGCCUGAACCAGCCAAGUAGCGUGCAGGAAGACGGCUCUCCGGGUUGUAAACUGCUUUUAGUUGGGAAUAAAACGGGGCUCGUGAGCCCCCUUGCAUGUACCAUCAGAAAAAGGACCGGCUAAUUCCGUG